AUGGAGUUCAUAUUUCAGGAUAAGCAUGCUACCGGAGAGUUCACGGUCCUUCAAACACCCUAUGACCGUGUUCAUGCCCGUGAUAAGGAUUUUAUUGGUGAUACCGAGAAGAAUGUGAGUGAUGUUAAGGUUGAUCCUGCAACACAUGAUGAUUCAGAUUGUGUUCCUGACGACACCACUAAUGAAUGCUCAUCUUCGAAGCGUCCUAGAGGUGACAAACGUGAUAAAGGUAAGUGGGUGAAGUGUGGUGAGAGUGCAGCUCAAGACAUGACGCGGUCUCUGCGUGAUAUGUCGGAUACUAUGCGUUACACGCACGUACCAACCCGAAUGAGAAUUUAUUCAAAAUAA
rnacentral:rRNA from 1 species